rnacentral:rRNA from 1 species
UACGGGGGGAGCAAGCGUUGUUCGGAUUUAUUGGGCGUAAAGAGCUCGUAGGCGGUUCGAUGAGUCGGCUGUGAAAUCUCCACGCUUAACGUGGAGGGGUCAGUCGAUACUGUCGUGACUCGAGUCCGGUAGGGGAGAAUGGAAUUCCCGGUGUAGCGGUGAAAUGCGCAGAGAUCGGGAGGAACACCCGUAGCGAAGGCGGUUCUCUGGGCCGAUGCUGACGCUGAGGCGCGAAAGCGUGGGGAGCAAACAGG